CUAUAAUGCAGUCGAGCGAACGGACGAGAGUGCUUGCACUCUCUGAUGUUAGCGGCGGACGGGUGAGUAACACGUGGGUAACCUACCUAUAAGACUGGGAUAACUUCGGGAAACCGGAGCUAAUACCGGAUAAUAUUUAGCUUCGCAUGAAGCAAUAGUGAAAGACGGUUCUGCUGUCACUUAUAGAUGGACCCGCGGUGUAUUAGCUAGUUGGUGAGGUAACGGCUCACCAAGGCAACGAUACAUAGCCGACCUGAGAGGGUGAUCGGCCACACUGGGACUGAGACACGGCCCAGACUCCUACGGGAGGCAGCAGUAGGGAAUCUUCCGCAAUGGACGAAAGUCUGACGGAGCAACGCCGCGUGAGUGAAGAAGGUUUUCGGAUCGUAAAACUCUGUUGUAAGGGAAGAACAAGUACGUUAGUAACUGAACGUACCUUGACGGUACCUUACCAGAAAGCCACGGCUAACUACGUGCCAGCAGCCGCGGUAAUACGUAGGUGGCAAGCGUUAUCCGGAAUUAUUGGGCGUAAAGCGCGCGUAGGCGGUCUCUUAAGUCUGAUGUGAAAGCCCCCGGCUCAACCGGGGAGGGUCAUUGGAAACUGGGAGACUUGAGUGCAGAAGAGGAGAGUGGAAUUCCAUGUGUAGCGGUGAAAUGCGCAGAGAUAUGGAGGAACACCAGUGGCGAAGGCGGCUCUCUGGUCUGUAACUGACGCUGAGGUGCGAAAGCGUGGGGAUCAAACAGGAUUAGA
rnacentral:rRNA from 1 species